UGGGGCGGCAUAAUUGGGCGGUAUGCCCUCAUAGCGCCGGUAUAGCGCCGGCACACCACCACAAGGGGCGCCAUCAAUCGAAUUUUUGGGGGUGGCGCGAUAAUUUUCGCGGCGCCAUGCAUUUGGCUCGAAGAAGAAGGCAGACAAGGAAGAUGGAAGAAUUAGGGUUUUGUUUUUUAUGGGUUUUGGGCUGGGCUUAAAAGGUUUUGGGUUUUAUUGAGCCAAGAAGCCCAGUUAUCAAUGUAAUGUUUUUAUAAAGUUAGAA
rnacentral:lncRNA from 1 species